GACGAACGCUGGCGGCGUGCUUAACACAUGCAAGUCGAGCGAGCGGCGGACGGGGGAGGAAUGUCUGAGAAACUGCCUGAAGGAGGGGGGUAAAUACUGGAAACGGUAGCUAAAAACGCAAAACAUCAGAUGUGGCAAGAUGGGAAUAGCAAGUAGGUGGGGGAAUGGCUAACCAAGGCGACGAUCCCUAGCUGGCCUGAUAGGAUGACCAGCCACACUGUAACGUAGCACCGGCCCAGACUCCUAAUGGAGGCAGCAGUUGGGAAUAUUGCCGAAUGGGCGCAAGCUUGAUGUAGCCAUGCCGCGUGGAUGAAGAAGGCCUUCGGGUUGUAAAGUACUUUCAGUUGUGAGGCGUGACCGACACAAGAAGCACCGGCUAACUCCGUGCCAGCAGCCGCGGUAAUUC
rnacentral:rRNA from 1 species